rnacentral:rRNA from 1 species
UACGUAGGGGGCAAGCGUUGUCCGGAUUUAUUGGGCGUAAAGCGCUCGCAGGCGGUCCGAUGCGUCGUGCGUGAAAGACCCCGGCUCAACUGGGGAGGGUCGUGCGAUACGGUCGGACUCGAGGCCAGUAGGGGGACGCGGAAUUCCGGGUGUAGUGGUGGAAUGCGUAGAGAUCCGGAGGAACACCAGCGGCGAAGGCGGCGUCCUGGACUGGUACUGACGCUCAGGAGCGAAAGUGUGGGGAGCGAACAGG